rnacentral:tRNA from 1 species
GCGGUGCAAAAAGUUAACACGCUUGGCUACUAACCAAAAGGCUGGUGGUUCGAGUCCACCCCGAUGCA